GGGGAAGACUCUGAGGACCACCCCCAACCCCGCUGAUACACAGUGAGUGAUGAGCUCCAGAGGCUGCAGCCGUAUUAGCUGCUAGAAGUCACCCGUCUCCAGAAAGCUGUGUGUGUGCAUGCAUGUGUGCACACGUGUCACCCGGAACAGCGCCAGUGGAAAUUCAAUGAACAUCUGUGGACAAAAGAAUUCCCCUCAUCACAGUUUGCAAUUCUAUGUUUGUUUGUUUGUGUCCUCGGUUAUCGCCAGGGCCCGUGUCUGCUGGGCUCCCCAUUCCAUCCGCGUCCUGGCUCCGUGCCCGACUCCCUGUAGACACCACCCCACACACAAAAGCCUUUGCAGGAAAGAGCUAAAUAAAGAAGCAUAGGCUGUU